CUUGUAUUCGGCCAAGAACAGCUCCACUUGCUAGCCCUCCAACAACAGAAUUCAUGAGGUCAUCAGGUGUUGUAGCUCGAGCAUCUCUUGCAAGUUCACGCGCACCUAAGUAUCAAAAGAGUAUGUGCCUUACAAGUUUACUCCAACACGCUGUUUGUCACCUUGAUUAAUACACAUGAGCAAACUAACAUUUCAAAAGUAGAGAAGAAGAGGCCACGAAACUGUGCAAGCAUGCAAUACCACAGGAGCUGACACUAGUAUGGGCCACUGUUUGCUGUUUAAAUUAGCUUGUAGCUAUAUACUCCCUCUGUCCGAAAAUACUUGUUGGAGAAAUGAUAAAAAUAGAUGUAUCUAGAACUAAAAUACGUCUAGAUACACCCAAUUCUCCGACAAGUAUUUCCGCACGGAGGGAGUAUUUAACUUGCAUCAUUAAAGUAAACUUGAGCCAGCAGGUGAAACUUAUAUAUAGCCAACUAAAGAUCAAGACAUAAACAAUAUUGAGUGACUUAAAAGCAAGCACACUCAUCCAUGCCAACCAAUAUAAGCUAAACCAGCAAAAAUUACACUAUUCCAAGAACAAAUAGAGAGCCACAGCUGCAUCCUAAUUCAACAUGUCACUUACACAAUUCCCAGCGAAUUGAGCGGUAAAUCCUGGGGCACAUCCUUUCACUAGUCAAGUGCUGGCAGUAAUAAACAUAUCCUGCUAUGAGCAAUCUGUUGCAAGACUAUANACACUCUCCGAGGCCGGCGUCACGACCUACGGGCCGGUCGACGCGACCGCAUUCGUCGUCUCCCUUCAUGCCAUGGCUGGCAUCAAGACGGCAAAGACGAUGCUGCUUCCGGUGACGAUCAACGGGGAGCGUCUCACCGCGCUCGUGGACACGGGUUCGACGCACAACUUCCUGUCCGGGGACGCCAUGCGCCGCCUCACACUCCAACCGGCGGGCUCGGAGAAGUUCAGCGUCACCGUCGCCAACGGGGACCGCCUUGCUUGCCAGGGGGUGGCGCGGCAGGUUCCCGUCCUCAUCGGAGAUGAGCCGUUCUCCAUCGACUGCGUCGGCAUCGACCUGGGCUGCUACGACUUCAUCCUCGGCAUCGACUUCCUGUCCACUCUCGGCCCCAUCCUUUGGGACCUCGAUGUGCUGUCCCUCAUCUUCUGGCGCGAGGGCGGCUGCCGCGUUUAGUGGACAGGCAUCGGCGACUCCGGCGCCGUGACUCCACAGCUCCAGUUGAUGGCGGCCGCACUGGACAAGGCGCAUCCCCUCCUGGCCGACCUCCUGCAGCAGCACAGCGACAUCUUCGACGAGCCACAGGGCCUCCCUCCCGCGCGGCCCUGUGACCACCGCAUCCACCUGCUACCGGACACGGCACCUGUAGCCGUGCGUCCGUACCGGUACCCUCAGCUGCAGAAAGACGAGCUCGAGCGUCAGGUGGCGGUCAUGCUCGCGCAGGGCAUCAUCCGGAUUUCAACAUCACCGUUCUCCGCCCCGGUGCUCCUUGUGCGCAAGCCCGACGGCACCUGGCGCUUCUGCAUCGACUACCGCGCCCUCAACGCCCUGACGUCCAAGGACAAGUUCCCCAUCCCCGUCGUGGAUGAGCUCUUGGACGAGCUACACGGAGCGCGCUUCUUCACCAAGCUUGACCUUCGCUCGGGCUACCAUCAGGUGCGCAUGCACCCUGACGACAUCGAGAAGACGGCGUUCCGCACUCACCAUGGCCACUUCGAGUUCCUGGUGAUGCCGUUCGGCCUCUCCAAUGCGCCAGCGACCUUCCAGGCCCUGAUGAACGACGUGCUCAGCCCAUACUUGCGCCGCUUUGUGCUUGUUUUCUUUGAUGACAUUCUCAUCUACAGUGCAUCUUGGGCGGAGCACCUACAACACGUGGCCAUCAUCUUCAACGAGCUUCGAGCGCAUCGUCUUCACCUCAAGCGCUCGAAGUGCUCGUUCGGCACGACCUCCGUCGCGUACCUGGAGCACGUCAUCUCGGCGGACGGGGUAGCGAUGGACGCGGACAAGGUCGCCGCCGUCGCAGCGUGGCCGAUCCCGCGGUCACCGCGGGCGCUCCGCGGCUUCUUGGGCCUCGCCGGCUACUACCGGAAGUACAUCUGGGACUUCGGCCUCAUCGCCGCGCCACUGACGCGUCUCCUUCGACGCGACGCCUUCUUUUGGGACGAGGAGGCGACUACGGCAUUCGAGGCUCUCCAGCGGGCGCUCACGACGGGACCCGUCCUCCAGAUGCCGGACUUUGAUAUGCCGUUCAUGGUGGACUGCGACGCCUCUGGCAUCGGCUUCGACGCCGUCCUCCACCAGGGCGAGGGACCGCUCGCCUUCUUCAGCCGCCCCUUCGCCGCUCGUCAUCACAAGCUCGCGGCCUACGAGCUCGAGCUUACUGGGCUGGUUCAGGCGGUGCGCCACUGGCGGCCUUAUAUUUGGGGCCGGUCAUUCCGUGUGCGCACGGACCACUACAGCCUCAAGUUCUUGCUGGACCAGCGCCUCUCCACAGUUCCACAACACCAGUGGAUCAGCAAGCUCUUUGGCUUCGACUUCACCGUUGAGUACCGCCCCGGCCGUCUCAACACGGUCGCCGACGCCUUGUCCCGCCGCGACACUGAGGAUGUCGCGGACGACGUCGCCAUGGCUGGCACUAUCAUGUGCAUUCGCUCCGGGCCAUCUUUCGCCUUCAUCGACGACAUUCGCCGGGCAACUUCGACGGCCGUGGACGCCCAGGGCCUGCGCCAGCGCCUUGACGCCAGCGAGCUGGACGCGCCCUGGCGCUUGGACGAGGGGCUGCUCCUACAUGGCCGCCGCAUCUUCGUGCUCGACCAUGGCGACCUGCGCCACCAGGUCCUGACCUUGGCGCACUCUGCAGGGCACGAGGGCGUGCAGAAGACUCUCCAUCGUCUCCGUGCUGAUUUUUACAUCCCCGGUGAUGGUGCGAUGGUCCGCGACUGGGUGCGGUCGUGCGUGACGUGCCAGCGGAACAAGACGGAGACACUACAACCCGCGGGUCUACUGCAGCCGCUGGACGUACCCUCCCAGGUGUGGGCGGAUAUUUCCAUGGACUUCAUCGAGGGCCUUCCCAAGGUGGGCGGCAAGUCCGUCAUCCUCACGGUGGUUGACCGCUUCUCCAAGUACGCGCACUUCAUCGCCCUGGGUCAUCCAUAUACAGCCGCCUCCGUGGCGCGGGCCUUCUUCGACGGCAUCGUCCGCCUCCACGGUUUUCCGUCGUCCAUCGUCAGCGAUCGUGAUCCUGUGUUCACGGGACAUGUCCGGCGGGAUCUCUUUCGACUGGCGGGCGUGAAGCUCCGCAUGAGCACGACGUUCCACCCUCAGACAGACGGCCAAUCCGAGGUGGUCAACAAGGUAAUCGCCAUGUACCUGCGUUGUGUUACUGGUGAUCGUCCACGAGCUUCGGUGGACUGGUUGGCGUGGGCGGAGUAUUGCUACAACACCUCCUAUCACUCCACCCUGCGCACCACGCCUUUCGAGGUGGUCUACGGGCGCCCACCUCCGGCGAUGCUCCCUUACGAGCCUGGGACGGCUCAGUCCGAGACGGCGGGCGACUUACUCCGCAACCGCGACGACAUUUUGGCUGAGGCACGCCAGCGUCUUCUCCAAGCACAGCAGCUGGCUCGGAAGUACUACGAUGCUCAUCAUCGCGAGGCGGAGUUCGCGGUGGGCGAUUGGGUGUGGCUGCGCCUCCUCCAUAGGACCACACAGUCUCUGGACCCGCGCUCCAAGCGCAAAUUGGGACCUCGCUACGCCGGUCCCUUUCGUGUGCUGGAGCGUGUCGGAACACUCGCAUACCGCUUGGAGCUGCCAGCUGGUUCUCGCCUCCACGACGUCUUCCAUGUCGGCUUACUGAAGGCCUACCGCGGGGACCCUCCUGCAGCGACGCCGGCCCUUCCUCCUACUUCGGAUGGCCGCCUCCUUCCAGCUUCCGCACAGGUGGUGAAGAUGAUGCAGGCGCAGCAGCGUCGCGGCGUCUGGCAUGUCUUGGUACAGUGGACCGGCCUGCCAGAGGAGGAAGCGACUUGGGAGAAGCUCGACGAUUUCCGCCAGCAGUUUCCAGAUGUUCAGCUCGAGGACGAGCUGUUUGAGAAGGCGGGGAGAGAUGUUAUGACCGGUACAACGUACAAACGGAGGAGGCCCAAUGGGCAGGGUUAAUUACGGGCUUAGCCCAAGUUAUCUUACCUAUCUUAGAGUCCAAGUUAUAUUAGAGUCCAAGUUAUAUUAGAGUCCAAGUUAGAGUCCAAGUUAUCUAGGGUUUAGUGGAGGUUGUCCUCCUAUAUAAACACAUGUACCCCUUCGAUAUUAAGCAGACAAUAAACAGUAUAUUCUGUUGUCGUCUCCCUCAGGAGACGAGAGCCCCAAACCCUAGCCGCCUCUCUCUCUCUCUCACGCCGCGACGGCGCCCAAUCGCCGGCGCCGGCGUCCCCAACCUCGCAGCCCGCACUUCCACCCCUACAACCUACGCCCGAGACCUGGUAGAACCCUAGCCUCUACCACAGCAUGUGAUUAUAGAGAACAAGAUAACCCUAAGGUGUCGUCUAAAUUCACCCUGUGAUGUUUGGUACAUGGAUGCAUUUAUGUAGUUAAAAAAAACAUGUGCUUGUGUGAAAAUAAGAGAGCCCCGUUAUACGAGGAGGUCAUGUGGUAAAAAAUUAUUUUGGUCGUGUCUGAUCUCUGAUGCAGCCAGUUGGCACAGCACCUACCUUCUAAGCAUUUGCACAAGCUCCACCAGAACGCACAUGACUGACCACAAUCGCACAUUUCCCUAAGCUUCAGUGCGUAAUGUAAUAUAAUAUGCAUCUUGAUCUGCUAGUAUGUGUGAUAUCAUAAACUUAAUUCUUUCAGAUAUAUAAGCUUGCUUGGUGCACUGUGAAGAUCAAAUCCAUAAGGACAAUGAGGAAUUGAGCACUAUAGUCAAAUUUGACUUGAGGAAAACUGCAGAUGCGAGUCACUGAAAGAUGUUAAGUAUGAAAAGAAACAUAAGUCAACAUAUGAUUGUGGAGUAUAAUGACCAACCUUGUAUUCGGCCAAGAACAGCUCCACUUGCUAGCCCUCCAACAACAGAAUUCAUGAGGUCAUCAGGUGUUGUAGCUCGAGCAUCUCUUGCAAGUUCACGCGCACCUAAGUAUCAAAAGAGUAUGUGCCUUACAAGUUUACUCCAACACGCUGUUUGUCACCUUGAUUAAUACACAUGAGCAAACUAACAUUUCAAAAGUAGAGAA
rnacentral:lncRNA from 1 species